AGAAGAAGAAGGAGAAGAAGAAGGAGGAAGAGGAGGAGGAGAAGAAGAAGGAGGAGGAGGAGCAGGAGGAGAAGAAGAAGAAGGAGGAAGAGGAGGAGGAGCAGACACGUGUGACAUGCGAACGAUCAGCUGGUUCCAGUCGUAAAGUUUGAACGGGUCGUUGAUCGUGAACAUGGAUGAAGAACUCACGGCCGGGUUCAGGGAGCUCUGUGCUCAGUGCUCGGCGGUGGAUUGGGGGAUUUCAGACGAGGGUCGUUUCUACUGCAGAUCCUGCCACAAUGUCAUCGAGAGAACCAAAGAGGUGGUGGACACGACCUUCACCCCCGGAUCCACCAGAGUCUCCACUAUUGGCCGAGGGACGAGACGCAGGAGACCAGAUCGUGGUCGUCAGUGGAUGAUCUGUGAAGGUUUUCAGUUCAUCCUGAGGAACCAGGCCAACGCUCUGCUCAGACUCGGAGUCUCUGCUCAGUUCAAGGACCCGGUGUUGUGUCAGCUGUGGAGACUUUACCUGCAGAAGAGUCGACAGGCGUUCACCAGCAACCCGGUGAGGAGCUCCGUGUUUAAAGUGCAACGUCCAGGAUCAGACUCAGACAGUGUAGCUAUGUCGUCUGCUGAGACGGACGGAGAGACGAAUCUGUCCAGCCCCGCCGCCUCUAACACAGCAGAGAGCUGCAGUGAUUGGUCGCAGCGUUCGGGCUCUUCAGACAUCGUCACCUACCUGACGGCCCGGCAGAGGCGCAGUCAUGGUCUGAUGAACAUGACGAAGACGUUGGCCCUGAUCCACCUCGCUCUGAUCUGGAGCCACGAGCCGCUGACGCUCAGCGACCUGCUCAGGUUGGUGAGCGAAGGUCACGUCCCGUUCAUAAACGCCUUCGAGGAACUUCCAGAAGAGAUGAAGCUCGACGGUAAAGAUGCUCUCAUCUUCAGAGUCGAGAGCGUCCCGUCCCACCGGGUCGUUCACCGCCAGGCUCAGACUCUGCUUCUGUUCCUGCAGCCUCAAACGUUUCCUCCAAUCAGCCGACAGAGUCUGCUGCACCCGGCACUGCUCAGCCUGCGCUACCUGACAGACACCAACCUGCCUGAUGAUCUCCACCCGUGGGUCUGCAGGCUGAUGGACGACGCCGGUUUGGUUGAUUUCACGUUCGACCCCACGUCUUGUCCCGUCCUGCCGCAUUACGACAUCCAGACCGCCGCCCUCAUCAUCGUCACUAUGAAGCUCAUCUUCGGCCUGGACGACCACACAGAGUGGGAUUUGUCCAACGAGUCGGGUGACCAGGACGACUCAGGAAACAUGUUUAACCUGAGGAGGUGGUUCAGAUUGACGCAGGCUGCUCUGAUCACAGCUCAGCAGAAAAGACACCACGAGGUCGCCAGGAAACAGUGGAAGGCCAAGAAACCUCUUUACCCGAGCAGAGACUCAGAGGCUGUUGUGAUGAAAAGGAAACGGACAGCAGAGCAGGUCCAGAUGUGUUUUGAAAAGCUGUCUUCUCGUCUCGUGGGGGUCCAGCGCUGCGAUCCGUCGAGCUUUACAUUCUGCUGGGGGGAUGAGGACGGAGCAGACGGUCCCAGUCUGCACCACAAGAAGCUGGACCGAGUCUUAACCCUGAAACACAACGUCCAGACUCCAGCUAACACCGCAUACUGGCACACGGCGCUCAGAGUCUGCGACCCCCAGAAGUGCAGGAGUCAUUACUCGGAGGUGGAGGCGACGCUGCCUCGGUCGUUCGUGUGGCUGCUGCAGCUCUUCUCCUUCCUGCUUAACGUGAAGCCGGCCUACCUGUACGAGGAGGUGCUGAGGGUGGAGAGACGAGUCCUCGACAGCAGACGACACCUGAGGAGGAGGGAGAGGACCACGACCACCAGGUCCGAGGACACGAUCGCCGGCUGCUGACUCCGCUCUCCUGAACAAUGCUGCUGUUUCUGUUUUAUCACCUGAAGAGCAGGCAGAGAAACGCAGUGACACAAACUCAGCAGCAGGGGGAGACUCACAGAAAAGACUCAAACAGAAUGAACAUGUUAGUUUGUUGUGCACACACAGCCCACGUGCACGCUCACGUGCACUCUGAAAGUCAAAGCUUGUAGGUUUAAAGUCUUACGAGGUGAAACUUAUCGCAGGUUUUCAGAGGACAGGAGUCGUCUGAGGACACUGGAAUCAACCAGCCGACUGUGAACGCAACACGAUGCUGUAUCCCGCCACUGAGGUGACAGGAGGUAACGCUGCUCUCUGUAGUAUCACCAUGGCAACAUGCCCAACGCUGUUAAGUUACCUAGCAACAGACAUGAACAUGGCAACGGCCAAAAUAAAAUCCCUCAAGUGUGUCUGCAGCAGAUUGAAUGUGACAGAUUUAACAUGGAGACGA